AAUUUAAAAAUAUAAAAUGGAAAAUAUUUUUCAAACUAAAUUAAAAUAUUAUUUAACAUAAAAGAAAAUAAUAAAAAUGUUAAAAGGUCCUUGCGAACGGACCUCGUUGAUUUAAAGUUUGCUUAAGUUUCUUAUGAGAGUUGUGUUCUGCUGGUAUUUUGUUUUAGUACCAACGUAUUAAAUAUGUGUCAGGUAAGAUUCUUCACAGUUCUCACAUUUAUCGGAUGAACAUAUCUUGCGCUGUUAAACAUGUCCAAGUAAGAAAAUUAUAUGAAUCUUCGAGCGACAGUAACGUUCUAAUGAAGAUGUCUUCCUGUGUCAUUUGUUGUAUGCUGAUUUGUGAAAAUCUGAUGAUGAUCUCUUUAAGUUAAAUUAAUGUAUUUAGACAAAACAGAUUUAAAAAUGCGAGUAUAGCGACAAAAUUCAACGUAAACAACUGCAAUAGGUGUUAUUUUGGGGUUUAAUGCCAAUAAAUCGUGGACAUUCGGUUUAACUUUAGGACAACUUAAGGACACAUGCCAAUCAAAUACCUCUAGAUGUCGACUUCAAUUCAAAAGAAUUUAUGGUUUAUAGACCGACUCACAACAAUGCUGCUUGAGUUAAUCUUCUCAAAAUAUAAAUUGUCAUAUGAUAUGAUAUUACCCAAAAUAUUUUGGGUUUAUUGUGGUCCGUUUAUGAGCUGGACCGUUUUUAUGAAAAUAUCGUUAGUGCACACAAUUUUAAGUGAUUAAUUUAAAAGUUAUACGCAGUUAUGAUGGUUCCCAAAAUGUUUUGAGUCUAUCGAUGGCCAAUGAGUGGAUACAAAAAAUACACUUUUUAGUAUUUUUUAAAAUUGUACAGUUUUUCUUAAACAAAAUAUACAAUAUGAGUAUAAUUUGAAUGUUUUUUGUUAUGAGGAGACGGUUAUUUAUGAUUAAUAGAUCAUUGGAUUCGGCUUUAAAAACCAUUGCAAAUGAUACCUCUGAGUUGAAUAUUCUAGCGAAUGUAUGGUUGAUUAACUUGAUUCUUUCUGUAAAAAUGUUAGUUUAUGUAAAA